UUUAAGGGAAAAUUGCCAAAACGGAACAAAAAAACAACAUAGUUGUCCCUAUAGUAUAAAACCAUCACUAAGUUGUCCCUAUAGUAUAAUAUUUUUCAUAAUACCAAAACUAACCUUUCUUUAAUCGAAUUAAACACAAAUUAAAAUCAUUUUUAAAAAGUUUAACGAAAAGAGAUAAAAAAAAUGAGGGAAAUAAUGUUUUAGAAAGAAAAAAAUGUAAAAACAAUAAAAAAAAAAGAACACAAGACACGGACCAAAAAUAUCCCGUAACCUAAUUACAGUUGGUUUCUACCCUCUCUUUCUCUCUGACGAGAGGAACAAGACACGAUUAUGUGUCUUCGCCGGUGAAAUCGAGCUUCCCUUCCCUUCCGGUGUAACCUCUUCGUCUGUCCCUUUCUCUCAGCCGCUACGCCUCUCCGCCUCUCAGCCUCUGUAUCUAUGCCUCUCUCUUUCUCCAACAUCCCUAGAAGCAAGCCGUGAGAUAAAACUGAGAAACAUAAUAGCUCUUGAGCAGUGCCAUUACCCUAAACAGAACCACGUCUGUAGCUACGCCUUAUUCCUAGAUUAUCUCAUUGACACUGAUAAAGACGUUGACUUGCUUCUCGAGAAAGGAAUACUAAAAAGUUGGAUUUGGCAACCCGCUAAAAAGUUGCGCAGAUGGUGAACAAGCUCGUGACAGUCAUCCUAGAUCCUGGUUCUUACUAUUAUGAUAUAGCGGGUGAAGUCAACAAGUCCUCAAGCGUGUGUAUUUCGGUAAGCCGUGGACAGGGACAGCCACCAUCGGCGCUACGUUUCUAUUGGCGAUGACACUUAUCCAGACUUAGGCAUGGACUGUUCAGGUUAAGCAGAAUGAACGUUAGAGAUGCAGUUGCAUCUCUAUCUCUAGUUGGUUUGCAGUUUAACUGAAACUUCCUUAAUUUUCGGAAAACCAGUUUUUUUAACUGAAACUUCCUUAAUUUUCGUAAAACCAGUUUUUUUAUUCGUAGAAGACACCUUCUACACCGUGUAGAAUCAUAAUAAAAAUCAUGAAUACAAUUUCUACUUCUUGUA